UCAAACUCGUGGUGUUUUGGACCGUCAGAUGACAUCUGCUCAGAUCAUAAACCAUAUAAUAUUAGAAACGAAUCAAACAUUGCAGAAGCAAACUUCGAUAUCAAGGUGUUUUUAAUCCGGUUUGACCAGUGCACCGUUGAGGUGUCUGGUUCGAUGUUCAGUCCGGUUAUGAAAACAUUGUGUAAAAUGUAAAUGUGUCUCUCCACUAGUUGAGUGUAAACUUAAGAGUAUGUUUAGAGAUUGUAUGAGUUAGUCGUUGUAAAAAAAUAAAAUACAAUAAAAUAACUCACGUAGAAUGCAGUUACAGUUCCCGCGGAAUCGCCUUCAACAAGCUUGAUCUGAAUGUUGACUUUUCCGAACAUAUACUUUGACUUUGAUGAAAAUCCAGCUCCUGAGUAAGUUAUCUAGCUUCAUGUUGACGGCAUCACCAUCAAACGAGAAAUGAUCAGGAGCCCAGUAAGGCUGAAACAGCUGAUCAAAUUUAGCAGUAGCAUUAGCACAAAAGAACAAAGAUAGAAACAAUGCAACAGCAACUAAAGAUGAAGAAGAAUCAGCCAUGAUGGAAGACAUAUUACAAGGUUUUUGUUGU
rnacentral:lncRNA from 1 species